rnacentral:rRNA from 1 species
GUUAGGAAUCUUCCACAAUGGGGGCAACCCUGAUGGAGCAACACCGCGUGCUGGAUGAAGGCCUUCGGGUCGUAAACAGCUUUUGUAUACGAAGAAUAUGACGGUAAUAUACGAAUAAGGGUCGGCUAACUACGUGCCAGCAGCCGCGGUCAUACGUAGGACCCAAGCGUUAUCCGGAGUGACUGGGCGUAAAGAGUUGCGUAAGCGGCUUAUUAAGCGAGUAGUGAAAUCUGGUGGCUCAACCAUCAACACAUUGCUCGAACUGAUAGGCUUGAGAAUGGUAGAGGUAGUUGGAAUUUCUUGUGUAGGAGUGAAAUCCGUAGAUAUAAGAAGGAACACCAAUGGCGUAGGCAGACUACUGGACCAUUUCUGACGCUGAGGCACGAAAGCGUGGGGAGCGAACCGGGUUAGAAACCCUAGUAGUCC